ACUAGCAUCAUCUCUACAAUGUUUGAGUAAUAUACAAAUAAAGCAAUUGUUCAGCACCAUCCUUUUGUGACUAC
rnacentral:lncRNA from 1 species